rnacentral:rRNA from 1 species
GCAACGAGCGCAACCCUCAUCCUUAGUUACCAUCAGGUAAUGCUGGGGACUUUAAGGAAACUGCCAGUGAUAAACUGGAGGAAGGUGGGGAUGAUGUCAAGUCAUCAUGGCCCUUAUGGAGUGGGCUACACACGUGCUACAAUGGUGGCUACAAUGGGCUGCAAAGUCGCGAGGCUAAGCUAAUCCCUUAAAAGCCAUCUCAGUUCGGAUUGUACUCUGCAACUCGAGUGCAUGAAGUUGGAAUCGCUAGUAAUCGUGGAUCAGCACGCCACGGUGAAUACGUUCUCGGGUCUUGUACACACUGCCCGUCACGCCAUGGGAAUUGGUUUCACUCGAAGCU